rnacentral:rRNA from 1 species
AGUGAACGCUGGCGGUAGGCCUAACACAUGCAAGUCGAACGGCAGCACAGUAAGAGCUUGCUCUUACGGGUGGCGAGUGGCGGACGGGUGAGGUAUACAUCGGAAUCUACUUUUUCGUGGGGGAUAACGUAGGGAAACUUACGCUAAUACCGCAUACGACCUACGGGUGAAAGCAGGGGAUCUUCGGACCUUGCGCGAUUGAAUGAGCCGAUGUCGGAUUAGCUAGUUGGCGGGGUAAAGGCCCACCAAGGCGACGAUCCGUAGCUGGUCUGGGAGGAUGAUCAGCCACACUGGAACUGAGACACGGUCCAGACUCCUACGGGAGGCAGCAGUGGGGAAUAUUGGACAAUGGGCGCGAGCCUGAUCCAGCCAUACCGCGUAGGUGAAGAAGGCGUUCGGGUUGUAAAGCCCUUUUGUUGGGAGAGAAAAGCAGCAGGUUAAUACCCCGCUGUUCUGACGGUACCCAAAGAAUAAGCACCGGCUAACUUCGUG